UCUGUUCUUAUCAGUUUAAUAUCUGACAUGUCUUCAUAUUAAAUGGAUUUUUAGAACAGGGAGGCAAAACGGGCUUGCCAGGUUCAGCCCACGCAUCGGCCUGGUAUUGCAGUACCUCCAGGAAUAGUGU
rnacentral:snRNA from 1 species